rnacentral:rRNA from 1 species
GAUGAACGCUAGCGGCAGGCCUAAUACAUGCAAGUCGAACGGUGUCUUCGGACAUAGUGGCGCACGGGUGCGUAACACGUAUGCAACCUACCUUACAUUGGGGGAUAGCCUUUCGAAAGGGAGAUUAAUACCGCAUAAGACAGUAGCUGGGCAUCCAGCAGCUGUUAAAGAUUUAUCGAUGUAAGCUGGGCGUGUGUCCAAUUAGCUAGUUGGUGAGGUAACGGCUCACCAAGGCAAUGAUUGGUAGGGGAACUGAGAGGUCAAUCCCCCACACUGGCACUGAGAUACGGGCCAGACUCCUACGGGAGGCAGCAGUAGGGAAUAUUGGGCAAUGGACGCAAGUCUGACCCAGCCAUGCCGCGUGCAGGAUGAAGGCGUUAUGCGUUGUAAACUGCUUUUAUACAGGAAGAAACGACUCUUGCGAGAGGCAUUGACGGUACUGUAUGAAUAAGCACCGGCUAACUCCGUGCCAGCCGCCGCUGUAAAAC